AUUGAACGCUGGCGGCAGGCCUAACACAUGCAAGUCGAACGGUAACAGGAAACAGCUUGCUGUUUCGCUGACGAGUGGCGGACGGGUGAGUAAUGUCUGGGAAACUGCCUGAUGGAGGGGGAUAACUACUGGAAACGGUAGCUAAUACCGCAUAACGUCGCAAGACCAAAGAGGGGGACCCUCGGGCCUCUUGCCCUCGGAUGUGCCCAGAUGGGAUUAGCUUGUUGGUGGGGUAACGGCUCACCAAGACGACGAUCCCUAGCUGGUCUGAGAGGAUGACCAGCCACACUGGAACUGAGGCACGGUCCAGACUCCUACGGGAGGCAGCAGUGGGGAAUAUUGCACAAUGGGCGCAAGCCUAAUGCAGCCAUGCCGCGUGUAUGAAGAAGGCCUUCGGGUUGUAAAGUACUUUCAGCGGGGAGGAAGGGAGUAAAGUUAAUACCUUUACUCAUUGACGUUACCCGCAGAAGAAGCACCGGCUAACUCCGUG
rnacentral:rRNA from 1 species